rnacentral:rRNA from 1 species
AACGAACGCUGGCGGCAUGCCUAACACAUGCAAGUCGAACGAGACCUUCGGGUCUAGUGGCGCACGGGUGCGUAACGCGUGGGAACCUGCCCUUAGGUUCGGAAUAACUCCCCGAAAGGGGUGCUAAUACCGGAUAAUGUCUUCGGACCAAAGAUUUAUCGCCUUUGGAUGGGCCCGCGUUGGAUUAGCUAGUUGGUAGGGUAAAAGCCUACCAAGGCGACGAUCCAUAGCUAGUCUGAGAGGAUGAUCAGCCACACUGGGACUGAGACACGGCCCAGACUCCUACGGGAGGCAGCAGUGGGGAAUAUUGGACAAUGGGCGAAAGCCUGAUCCAGCAAUGCCGCGUGAGUGAUGAAGGCCUUAGAGUUGUAAAGCUCUUUUACCCGGGAUGAUAAUGACAGUACCGGGAGAAUAAGCUCCGGCUAACUCCGUG